UAUAUAUUUCCUGCUUAGUUGCUGUUGUUAUGAAGCUUAGAUCAGACUUGUGUUUGGUAUUAUGACGGUUAAAUGUGGUUUACAUUAAACUAGUUGCUUCUUUUGAACUUGAUAUAGACAGUUGUUGGAUGAUGGACAACAUGCCACUUCAGAUGCCUUUCAUUUCUUUCUGUUUCUUUACAGUGUAAUCAUCACAUUAUACCUCGCUUCUGGAUAAUAUGGACACUUUGGAUGUUC